rnacentral:rRNA from 1 species
UACAGAGGGAGCGAGCGUUGUUCGGAAUUACUGGGCGUAAAGGGCGCGUAGGCGGUCCGAUAAGUCCCGUGUGAAAUCCCUCGGCUCAACUGAGGAAUGGCACGGGAAACUGACGGGCUUGAGUUCGGGAGAGGGAAGCGGAAUUCCGGGUGUAGCGGUGAAAUGCGUAGAUAUCCGGAGGAACACCGGUGGCGAAGGCGGCUUCCUGGACCGACACUGACGCUGAGGCGCGAAAGCUAGGGGAGCAAACGGG